UACGUAGGUGGCAAGCGUUGUCCGGAAUUAUUGGGCGUAAAGCGCGCGCAGGCGGCCUCUUAAGUCUGAUGUGAAAGCCCCCGGCUCAACCGGGGAGGGCCAUUGGAAACUGGGAGGCUUGAGUAUAGGAGAGAAGAGUGGAAUUCCACGUGUAGCGGUGAAAUGCGUAGAGGAUGAUGGAGGAACACCAGUGGCGAAGGCGACUCUUUGGCCUAUAACUGACGCUGAGGCGCGAAAGCGUGGGGAGCAAACAGG
rnacentral:rRNA from 1 species